GACGAACGCUGGCGGCAUGCCUAAUACAUGCAAGUCGAGCGAACAGAUGAAGUGCUUGCACUUCUGACGUUAGCGGCGAACGGGUGAGUAACACGUAAGGAAUCUACCUAUAAGCGGGGGAUAACAUUCGGAAACGGGUGCUAAUACCGCAUAAUAUCUUCUUCCGCAUGGUAGAAGAUUGUAAGACGGCUCUGCUGUCCCUUAUAGAUGACCUUGCGGUGCAUUAGUUAGUUGGUGGGGUAACGGCCUACCAAGACAAUGAUGCAUAGCCGACCUGGGAGGGAGAGCGGCCACAUUGGGACUGAGACACGGGCCAAACUCCGACGGGAGGCAGCAGUAGGGAGUCUUCCGCAAUGGGCGAAAGCCUGACGGAGCAAUGCCGCGUGAGUGAAGAAGGCCUUCGGGUCGUAAAACUCUGUUAUAAGAGAAGAACAAAUUGUAGAGUAACUGCUACAGUCUUGACGGUAUCUUAUCAGAAAGCCACGGCUAACUACGUGCCAGCCGCCGCCGUAA
rnacentral:rRNA from 1 species